rnacentral:rRNA from 1 species
CCUACGGGGGGCAGCAGUGAGGAAUAUUGGUCAAUGGUCGGGAGACUGAACCAGCCAAGCCGCGUGAGGGAGGAAGGUACCGAGCAUUGUAAACUUCUUUUGUCAGGGGACAAAGUCUGGGUCGCGUCCCUGGCCGAGUGUACUUGAAGAAAAAGCAUCGGCUAACUCCGUGCCAGCAGCCGCGGUAAUACGGAGGAUGCGAGCGUUAUCCGGAUUUAUUGGGUUUAAAGGGUGCGGAGGCGGUCUGUUAAGUCAGCGGUAAAAGCCCGGGGCUCAACCCCGGCCCGCCGUUGAAACUGGCUGUCUCGAGAUGGCGAGAGGUAUGCGGAAUGCGCAGUGUAGCGGUGAAAUGCUUAGAUAUCGCGCAGAAAUCCGAUUGCGAAGGCAGCAUACCGGCGGCGCUCUGACGCUGAGGCACGAAAGCGUGGGUAUCGAACAGGAUUAGAUACCCCUGUAGUC